ACAAAGAUUUCAUGUAUAAUCAUUAUAAUAAACAAAUAAUUACAAAUUAGCCAAGUGUCACAAAGUGUCACAAAGUGUCACUGGGUGCCGUCACAGAGGAGCGUGACCUUGUCUGGCCGGGGACCCCUUCGGCAUGGCAAGCAGCUUGGCACAAGGUCAGCCCAACCUGAGCUGUCUAAUACCUGGUAGAAAUUCCCAGGUAAAGGCAAGAGGAGUGUUCCAGGCAAAGGAACCAGCCCAUGCACAUUUCUAGAGGCAAGAGAGACAUAUCGAGAUGUGGAGGGCCUAGGCAUGCUCAGUGAGGAAGAAGGAGUCCCAGAAAGGGGAACAACAAAAGGUAAAAGAGCAAAACAGGACUCACUGACAGCGGCAAGAUGGGAUCGAAUCAAACCCUGGGUUGAGGAGAUGCAGAGGAUUCUUUAUGGACAGGUGGGAAGGUUAGAGGCUGCCAUGUGGAGAACGGAUUGGGGGUGUGGGUGCAGAGGCAAUUGUCGAAUGGAACCAGGAAGGUUGGCCGAGAUGUUAUUGUAGACUCCUUGAGAAGGCAUAAAAGAUGUUUGAUAAA